rnacentral:misc_RNA from 1 species
AAGUCGUAACAAGGUUUCCGUAGGUGAACCUGCGGAAGGAUCAUUACCUUUCAAUGCAGCAGAGGAUGGCUGAGACAUCGCCUUCUUUGCCUGUAUUCUACCCUUGUUUGCCAUAUACUAUUAUUUCCUCGGCGGGUCUGCCUGCCGAGUGAAACCUAUUAUAACCUAUUUAAUUUUCAAUCAGCGUCUGAAAAAGAAAAUAAUUACAACUUUCAACAACGGAUCUCUUGGUUCUG